GUUUGGCACCUCGAUGUCGGCUCAUCGCAUCCUGGGGCUGUAGUCGGUCCCAAGGGUUGGGCUGUUCGCCCAUUAAAGCGGUACGCGAGCUGGGUUCAGAACGUCGUGAGACAGUUCGGUCCCUAUCCGUCGUGGGCGUAGGAAAUUUGAGAGGAGCUGUCCUUAGUACGAGAGGACCGGGAUGGACAUACCUCUGGUGUACCAGUUGUCGUGCCAACGGCAUAGCUGGGUAGCUAUGUAUGGACGGGAUAAGUGCUGAAAGCAUCUAAGCAUGAAGCCCCCCUCAAGAUGAGAUUUCCCAACUUCGGUUAUAAGAUCCCUCGAAGAUGACGAGGUUAAUAGGUUCGAGGUGGAAGCGUGGUGACACGUGGAGCUGACGAAUACUAAUCGAUCGAAGAC
rnacentral:rRNA from 1 species